AAUGGACGGAAAAAGGGUUGCGAUCCCGCGAGGGUGAGCUAACUCCAAAAACUCGUCCUCAAUUUGGAUUGCAAGCUGCAACUCGCCUGUAUGAAG
rfam:Gossypium arboreum cultivar AKA8401 contig_4722_11, whole genome shotgun sequence.